rnacentral:sRNA from 1 species
UCAAUCAAUGACCGAUAGUAGGUUCGUGC